AUUGAACGCUGGCGGAAUGCUUUACACAUGCAAGUCGAACGGCAGCACGGGGGCAACCCUGGUGGCGAGUGGCGAACGGGUGAGUAAUACAUCGGAACGUGCCCAGUCGUGGGGGAUAACGUAGCGAAAGUUACGCUAAUACCGCAUACGAUCUACGGAUGAAAGCGGGGGACCGUAAGGCCUCGCGCGAUUGGAGCGGCCGAUGUCAGAUUAGGUAGUUGGUGAGGUAAAGGCUCACCAAGCCGACGAUCUGUAGCUGGGCUGUGAGGACGACCAGCCACACUGGGACUGAGACACGGCCCAGACUCCUACGGGAGGCAGCAGUGGGGAAUUUUGGACAAUGGGCGCAAGCCUGAUCCAGCCAUUCCGCGUGCAGGACGAAGGCCUUCGGGUUGUAAACUGCUUUUGUACGGAACGAAAAGGCUCUGGUUAAUACCUGGGGCUCAUGACGGUACCGUAAGAAUAAGCACCGGCUAACUACGUGCCAGCAGCCGCCGUAA
rnacentral:rRNA from 1 species